rfam:Triticum urartu cultivar G1812 contig962339, whole genome shotgun sequence.
AUUCUACUCCCUCCAUUGCACAAUACAUGCCUUCUAUUUGUCAAAAUAUAUAUGUAUCUAGACAUGCCUUAGUACAUAGGUACAUCCACUUUUGGACAAAUGGAAGUCAAGUAUUUUGGAACGGAGGGAGUACACU